rnacentral:rRNA from 1 species
AGAGUUUGAUUAUGGCUCAGGAUGAACGCUGGCGGCGUGCCUAAUACAUGCAAGUCGAACGGAGAUUUAGCAAUAAGAUCUUAGUGGCGAACGGGUGAGUAACGCGUUGGUGACCUGCCUCAAAGUGUGGGAUAACAGUUCGAAAGGAUUGCUAAUACCGCAUGUGAUCUCCGGGAUUAGAUGCCCGGUUAUUAAAGCCGAAAGGCGCUUUGAGAGGGACCUGCGUCCCAUCAGCUAGUUGGUAAGGUAACGGCCUACCAAGGCGAUGACGGGUAGGGACCUGAGAGGGUGGACCCCCACAAUGGAACUGAAACACGGUCCAUACACCUACGGGUGGCAGCAGUAGGGAAUAUUGCAUAAUGGGCGAAAGCCUGAUGCAGCAACGCCCGCGUGUGCGAUGAAGGCCUUCGGGUCGUAAAGCACUUUUAGAGAGGAUGAGGAAGGACAGUACUCUCUGAAUAAGCCUCGGCUAACUACGUGCCAGCAGCAGC